CAGAGGGGCGAGCGUUGUUCGGAAUUACUGGGCGUAAAGGGCGCGUAGGUGGCCUGUUAAGUCGAACGUGAAAUCCCCGGGCUCAACCCGGGAACUGCGUCCGAGACUGGCAGGCUCGAAUCCGGGAGAGGGAUGUGGAAUUCCAGGUGUAGCGGUGAAAUGCGUAGAUAUCUGGAGGAACACCGGUGGCGAAGGCGGCAUCCUGGACCGGUAUUGACGCUGAGGCGCGAAAGCCAGGGGAGCAAACGGGAUUAGAUACCCCGGUAGUCCUGGCCCUAAACGAUGAAUGCUUGGUGUGGCGGGUAUCGAUCCCUGCCGUGCCGAAGCUAACGCAUUAAGCAUUCCGCCUGGGGAGUACGGUCGCAAGGCUG
rnacentral:rRNA from 1 species